rnacentral:rRNA from 1 species
AUGUCGAACAUGGCGGCGGUGAUUGAUCUGGGGUUGGAGGAGCUGCAACUAGCGCUUAUUUUGAGGUACAGGUUUCACCCCAGCAACGAGGAGAUGGUCGCGCACUACCUCACCCCCGAGUUCCGCAAACCCUACUUCUCUUAUCCCGUGGUCGCCGAUGUCAACCUAACAACAGCAAGCCAUGGGAUCUUCCGACUAAAGUCGAAGAUGGGUGAGAAGGAGUGGUUCCUUUUUGUGCACAGUGAUCAGAAGUACCCCACGGGGAUGCGCACCAAUCGGGUGACUAGGAGCGGCUACUGGAAGGUGACGGGUAGCGACAAGGAGAUAUUUCGUGACACGGGACAGUGCAUGUCCUCGUCGGCAUAA